UGCACAACAACUGGGAUAAAACAAGCCAUCCCUUAAGGGGGGGUAAAAAUCUCACUUCACCACAGCUUUCAACACCUUACGCCCAAAAACAGAAUCCUCAAGAGGCCUGUACGUCUAACCGACAAUGCCUGUAGAAGGUAUGAAGGGAGGACCAAGUUGCUGCAUUGCAUAUUUGGGAAGGCGAUGAUGAAGCUCUUAAAGCCCAUGAAGAAGCAACACCUCUGGUAGAAUGAUCCCACAGUUUCAGAGGAGGAGAUGUAUGCCAGUACAAUAGAUUCC